UCACUACUUUAUAUCUCUAACCUUUAACUUUUUUUUUUCUUCUUCUUCUUCUUACUCUUCGUCUUCUUCUUCCUCCUCUGUGUCU
rnacentral:sRNA from 1 species